UACGAAGGGGGCUAGCGUUGCUCGGAAUCACUAGGCGUAAAGCGCACGUAGGCGGCUUUCUAAGUCAGGGGUGAAAUCCUGGAGCUCAACUCCAGAACUGCCUUUGAUACUGGACGAGCUCGAGUCCGGAAGAGGUGAGUGGAACUCCGAUGAGUGUAGGAGGUGAAAUUCGUAGAUAUUAGGAAGAACACCAGUGGCGAAGGGCGGCUCACUGGCCCGGUAUGACG
rnacentral:rRNA from 1 species